rnacentral:rRNA from 1 species
AACAAACGCUGGCGGCGUGCCUAAUACAUGCAAGUCGAACGGGGAAAGCUUUCGGGUGAGUACUAGUGGCGCACGGGUGAGGAACGCGUGGAUAAUCUGCCUUAGAGUGGGGGUUAACUAGUCGAAAGAUUAGCUAAUACCGCAUAAGACCACGAGAGCUGCGGCUUUUGAGGUCAAAGGUUUUUCGCUCUAAGAUGAGUCCGCGUAAGAUUAGCUAGUUGGUGAGGUAACGGCUCACCAAGGCGACGAUCUUUAACUGGUCUGAGAGGAUGAUCAGUCACACUGGAACUGAGACACGGUCCAGACUCCUACGGGAGGCAGCAGUAGGGAAUAUUGCACAAUGGAGGAAACUCUGAUGCAGCGACGCCGCGUGAGUGAUGAAGGCCUUCGGGUCGUAAAGCUCUGUCGCAGGGGAAUAACACAAUGAAGGUACCCUGUAAGAAAGGAUCGGCUAACUUCGUG